rnacentral:rRNA from 1 species
CCUGGCGGCUUUAGCGCGGUGGUCCCACCUGACCCCAUGCCGAACUCAGAAGUGAAACGCCGUAGCGCCGAUGGUAGUGUGGGGCCUCCCCAUGCGAGAGUAGGGAAC